AGCCUUUUUUUUUGUAUUGAUUGGUAUUGCAUACCAUUUUUGGAUGUUGACAUUUGUAUGUGGAAUAGAAAAAUGAGGUAGAGGUUUAACUUUUUUUAUUGUUACAUAAUAUAAAUUAGUUUUACUUGGUGUUGAAAUGUCGUCUUGUUUUUUAUCUGUGUGUUUAUAUACUAUUAGAAAAUUAUAGUGUUAUUUUGUUUUUAUUGGGGGUUAAGAUUUUGUAGUGUUUCUUAUUUUGUGUUUUAUAACGUUUUCUUUUUGUGUUUGUURGUGCGUAUUUUGUUAUUAAUUUAUUAAUAAUUUGAAAAUUUUGAAUUUAGUAAUUUUUUAAGUUUUGUUUUUUGUUGUAAUUUUUUGUUGUGAACUUGAGGUYUGAUCAAAUGUUUUUUAAAGACUUAGGUCUCUUUAUGUGGCUGGCCUCUGCCCUAUGUUGUGAUAAAUGGCAGUCUUAGCGUGAGGACAUUAAGGUAGCAAAAUAAUUUGUGCUUUUAAUGGGUUCCAGUAUGAAUGGGGUURGUGGUUAAUUGUAUACUUAAGUUUUUAUGAAGUAGGUUUUUGUUUAAGAAAUAAUGGUUGUGAUUAUACAAAGAUAAGUCUUCGGAAGYUUUUYUCUCAAUUUUUUAUAGAUUAUUUUGGGAUGUUUUCUAGGGUAGAACUUUUUGUAAUUUUUUUUUACUAUUUAUAAUUUAUAAAACUACUUCGGAGUUAACAGAAAUUCRUGUUUUUACCAGUUCGUAUGGUAAUAAUAAGUUUUACAUCGAUGUUGUAUUUUAGUUGUUCAGGAGAGGAGAUGGUUUGAGUUUUGAGACUGUUCUUCUUUUAGUAAACUAAACGUGAUAUUAGUUUAAUUCAUCGUGAGAUAGAAUUGUUUAUCUUGUUAAUUACUUGUGUUGAAGGCAGGCAGUACGAAAGGAAAUUUGUUAA
rnacentral:rRNA from 1 species